GCAUCUUUACACUCCUCACAGCUGUUUCCUUUGGCCAUGACUACACAGCCAUCUUCAAAGCAAGAGCAUCUUUGUUGGCCAUGCACCCAAACUAUGACAACGAUUCAGGUGGCCAUCAACCAUGCUCUGAGAGAUGUCACUUCUUCCUGGAGCUGGAGAACUCCAUCAAAGGCUGACAUCCAGGUGGCUCAAGCUUGUCUCAGAAAAAGCCUGACCAAUAAAGAUAGAGGCACAUGGAACAGAUGAGAAUCAGUACAUCCAAUGAAACAGCCUAAUGCAACCUGUGGGAGUAGCUGAAAACCUACUGGGAAUGACAAACUCAUCUUUCCAAGACAUUAGAUGGACUUGGUAGAGCAACACAUAACCUGAGUAGGCGAUCAUCUUAACUGAGAGAUGAGCUU